AGUCGAGCGAACAGAUGAGAAGCUUGCUUCUCUGAUGUUAGCGGCGGACGGGUGAGUAACACGUGGGUAACCUACCUAUAAGACUGGGAUAACUCCGGGAAACCGGGGCUAAUACCGGAUAAUAUUUUGAACCGCAUGGUUCAAUAGUGAAAGACGGUUUCGGCUGUCACUUAUAGAUGGACCCGCGCCGUAUUAGCUAGUUGGUAAGGUAACGGCUUACCAAGGCGACGAUACGUAGCCGACCUGAGAGGGUGAUCGGCCACACUGGAACUGAGACACGGUCCAGACUCCUACGGGAGGCAGCAGUAGGGAAUCUUCCGCAAUGGGCGAAAGCCUGACGGAGCAACGCCGCGUGAGUGAUGAAGGUCUUCGGAUCGUAAAACUCUGUUGUUAGGGAAGAACAAAUUUGUUAGUAACUGAACAAGUCUUGACGGUACCUAACCAGAAAGCCACGGCUAACUACGUGCCAGCAGCCGCGGUAAUACGUAGGUGGCAAGCGUUAUCCGGAAUUAUUGGGCGUAAAGCGCGCGUAGGCGGUUUCUUAAGUCUGAUGUGAAAGCCCACGGCUCAACCGUGGAGGGUCAUUGGAAACUGGGAAACUUGAGUGCAGAAGAGGAGAGUGGAAUUCCAUGUGUAGCGGUGAAAUGCGCAGAGAUAUGGAGGAACACCAGUGGCGAAGGCGGCUCUCUGGUCUGUAACUGACGCUGAUGUGCGAAAGCGUGGGGAUCAAACAGGAUUAGAUACCCUGGUAGUCCACGCCGUAAACGAUGAGUGCUAAGUGUUAGGGGGUUUCCGCCCCUUAGUGCUGCAGCUAACGCAUUAAGCACUCCGCCUGGGGAGUACGACCGCAAGGUUGAAACUCAAAGGAAUUGACGGGGACCCGCACAAGCGGUGGAGCAUGUGGUUUAAUUCGAAGCAACGCGAAGAACCUUACCAAAUCUUGACAUCCUUUGACCGCUCUAGAGAUAGAGUCUUCCCCUUCGGGGGACAAAGUGACAGGUGGUGCAUGGUUGUCGUCAGCUCGUGUCGUGAGAUGUUGGGUUAAGUCCCGCAACGAGCGCAACCCUUAAGCUUAGUUGCCAUCAUUAAGUUGGGCACUCUAGGUUGACUGCCGGUGACAAACCGGAGGAAGGUGGGGAUGACGUCAAAUCAUCAUGCCCCUUAUGAUUUGGGCUACACACGUGCUACAAUGGAUAAUACAAAGGGCAGCGAAUCCGCGAGGCCAAGCAAAUCCCAUAAAAUUAUUCUCAGUUCGGAUUGUAGUCUGCAACUCGACUACAUGAAGCUGGAAUCGCUAGUAAUCGUAGAUCAGCAUGCUACGGUGAAUACGUUCCCGGGUCUUGUACACACCGCCCGUCACACCACGAGAGUUUGUAACACCCGAAGCCGGUGGAGUAACCUUUUAGGAGCUAGCCGUCGAA
rnacentral:rRNA from 2 species